GGAGGGGGCAAGCGUUGUUCGGAAUUACUGGGCGUAAAGGGCGCGUAGGCGGGAUAUCAAGUCAGGGGUGAAAGGCCUGGGCUCAACCUGGGAACUGCCUUUGAAACUGAUAUUCUGGAGUCCGGGAGAGGAUGGCGGAAUUCCCAGUGUAGAGGUGAAAUUCGUAGAUAUUGGGAAGAACACCGGUGGCGAAGGCGGCCAUCUGGACCGGUACUGACGCUAAGGCGCGAAAGCGUGGGGAGCAAACAGGAUUAGAUACCCUGGGUAGUCCACGCCGUAAACGAUGUGUGCUAGCCGUUGGGGGCUUUGAGCUUCGGUGGCGCAGCUAACGCGUUAAGCACACCGCCUGGGGAGUACGGCCGCAAGGUUA
rnacentral:rRNA from 1 species